AUUUCUUUUAACGCAUUUUUGCCAUCACUUCCCGUUUCUUUCACGAAUUCAUCAUAAAAAGGCUUCAUUGCUUUUUUGAACGGAUCUAGAUUUGGAUAAGUCACCACAACGCCCUG
rnacentral:antisense_RNA from 1 species